UACGUAGGGUGCGAGCGUUAAUCGGAAUUACUGGGCGUAAAGCGUGCGCAGGCGGUGAUGUAAGACAGGUGUGAAAUCCCCGGGCUUAACCUGGGAACUGCAUUUGUGACUGCAUCGCUGGAGUGCGGCAGAGGGGGAUGGAAUUCCGCGUGUAGCAGUGAAAUGCGUAGAUAUGCGGAGGAACACCGAUGGCGAGGGCAAUCCCCUGGGCCUGCACUGACGCUCAUGCACGAAAGCGUGGGGAGCAAACAGG
rnacentral:rRNA from 1 species